CAGGGAGACAACAAAAUGUUUAAUAUUAUUAUUUUGUCACCUUAGGUCGAUCGGUAUCUCACAUUCUUAUUUUUAAGGAUUUUACUUCCUAAGUUUUUCUAGGUCACACCCAUUUUUUUCCUGGGCCAUUAGCUCAGGUGGUUAGAGCGCACCCCUGAUAAGGGUGAGGUCCCUGGUUCAAGUCCAGGAUGGCCCAUAUCUCUAUGUUGGGGGUAUAGCUCAGUUGGUAGAGCGCCUGCUUUGCAAGCAGGAUGUCAGCGGUUCGAGUCCGCUUACCUCCACUGAUUACCACCUCUUACGUAAUCUGUAUGAAGGAAAAUUUUGAGUUGUGAUCAAUUUCUGAACGAAUCUAGCUUCCUAAUGAAAUCAUUAAGAUGCUGGACUCAUUGAAUUAAUUUCAUUGUUUUCAGAGAACCUUGACAACUGCAUAGAUUAUUUUUUUAAAGACAAUAAGCAUCUUUAAUGAUGCAGAUUUAUUAUUUGUGCGAAUGCAUUAAUAACAAUUCUAUUAAGCUGAUGCUUCAAUUUUUGAAGUUAUU
rnacentral:tRNA from 1 species